ACGUGAGUAUCAUCGCGACAAUCCUAUAUGGAACAGAGGCAUUGCUGUUGCACCUUGAAUUGCAGCAAGGGGCGUGUUGUCGUUAAGGGCGCAACUCGAAUUUACCGCCGCGCGAUGGGGUGAUGCCUUCUGUAUUGAUUUUCUGUGGCUCGGGCCAGUCUGUCACGCGAGUAAAUCGUGAACGGUCAAACAAUGGUUAUUCUACUUUGCAAAGAUAUCAUGUCUUUGGAACAGCCCCUAUUGUCCAAUGGUCAUACCAAUGGAUUUGUACCAACGGAAAAGGCGUCCAUUACAGAUGGAUUUCAAUACGCUGCGUCCAGUGAAACCGGUCUUGAUGGACCGGACCAGGUAUUGCGCUCUAAUGUCGAUACUACAGCGGAACUUGAUGGUUCUAUUCGAAUUAAACUGGAAGCGGAGGGGCCGAACGCAUUCCAGCCUAUAUCCGUUCCCGGACUUUUAAUGAAGACGGCUAGAGAGUAUCCAAAUCAUCCAGCUUUGGUAUCCACACCGGGAGUCGACGGUAGUAGAUUGACGUUGACUUACAAGGAAUAUGAGGCGCAGGUGAGAAUCGUUGCAAGAGCCUUUCUUAAAUUGGGUCUACAAAAAUUUCACAGUGUCUGCAUCUUGGGUUUCAAUAGUCCUAAGUGGUUCAUUUCAGAUCUUGCUGCCAUCUAUGCUGGGGGUUUUGCGGCAGGAAUUUACACAACCAAUUCCCCAGAGGCAUGUCAGUAUUGCGCUGAAAGCAGUCGAGCAAAUAUAAUAGUCGUGGAAGAUGCAAAACAGUUAGAAAAAAUAACAGAAAUAAAGAAGAAUUUACCUCUUUUAAAGGCAAUAAUUCAAUACGACGGAGUGCCUAAGGAUAAGGAUGUGCUGAGUUGGAACGACCUCUUGGAAAUAGGAAAAGGAGAGUCGGACGAUAAAUUAGAUGCGGUACUAAAAACUGUUGCGACGAAUCAAUGUUGCACAUUAGUUUAUACGUCAGGAACAGUUGGUUAUCCGAAAGCCGUAAUGUUAAGUCAUGACAAUCUUUUGCACGACGCCCGUGCUAUCGGAAGUUCAGUUGAUCUCGACGUACAAAAAGAAGUACUCGUGAGUUACUUGCCCCUAUCUCACGUUGCGGCACAGGUUGUCGAGAUAUUCCUGAGUAUGUCGUUUGCAGCUACCGUUUAUUUCGCAGAUAGGAACGCGCUGAAAGGCUCCCUACUGGAAACACUCCUCGACGUGCGUCCAACGGUCUUCUUGGGCGUCCCAAGAGUAUGGGAAAAAAUCUACGAGAAAAUGCAAGUUAUAGCUCGCAAUAAUGGAGUAAUAAAAACUUGGAUAUCGAACUGGGCCAAAGCCCAGGGACUAAUGUACAAUAUGAAUCGAAUAAACGGCAUUGAUUAUAAGCAUUGGGGUUACCUCAUCGCCAAGUGGUUGGUUUUUAAUAAGGUGAAAGCGGCUCUUGGUCUUAACAGAUGUAAAAUUCUUGCUACGGCAGCUGCACCUCUAAGUACAGAAAUCAAAAAAUACUUCUUGAGCUUAGAUAUGCCGAUUAUUGAUGCGUAUGGUAUGUCCGAAUGUGCUGGGGCCCACAGUUUCACCACCAUAAACCAUUAUCGACUGGACGGUGUUGGUGUAGUUAUGAAGGGGUUGCAAACAAAAUUGGACAAUCCAGAUAAUUCUGGAGAGGGUGAAAUCUGUAUGAAAGGUCGACAUGUUUUCAUGGGUUAUUUGAAUGCGCCGGAAAAAACUAAGGAAGCUAAGGAUGACGAGGGCUGGUUGCACAGUGGCGAUUUGGGCAGGAUAGACUCUGAGGGUUUUAUGAAGAAUAAAAGAACUUAUUAUCACGGCUGGCGGGGAAAACAUUCCACCUGUCCAUAUAGAACACAUGUUGCUGGCUGAAUUGCCAGCUCUUAGCAAUGCUAUGUUGAUAGGCGAUUUAAGAAAAUUCUUAACCAUUCUAGUCACGUUCAAGACCGAUGUCAAUGCUAAUACCGGGGAACCUUUGGACACUUUGGUUCCAGAAGCGAGAGCAUGGGUAAAAUCGAUCGGUAGUAAAGCGAAGACGGUAUCAGAAAUAUUGGAAACGCAGGAUCCCCUGAUUUACAAGGGUAUUGAGGAAGCUAUUGAAAGGGUGAACACGCGUGCAAUAAGUAAUGCUCAAAAAGUGCAAAAAUUUCGAAUUCUGCCGCAUGACUUCUCUGUUCCAACGGGAGAAUUGGGACCAACAUUAAAGAUUAGGAGGAAUGCUGUACAUAAAAUGUACGCAGAUCUGAUCGAUGAAAUGUACAAGUAACCCGAUGCAUAGAAACGUAAUAGGAAGAAGAAUGCUGGAUACUGACUUUACAUUAGGAUCAUAAACGAAAGGAAAAUUACUUGCAAGUCUUUCUUUCUGACUCACCCUUUAUCGCUUCUGUCAAUUGAAGAAUGACACCACUUAAGGAUUCCGUCAAUAACUUGAUUGUUACUUCGCAAGUUUUAAUAUACUAAUGUUUGUGAUAUUAUUGUCAAAAUGUUUUCAAACGGUAAUAAGGAACAUUAAAAUAAACAUAUUGCUUUAUAAUAAGUUAUAUGUACGAGGUAACACGGUUAACCAUUGAAAAGUGUGUAGGUGUUUUAAACUACGUCAAUUAACGAAUAAGACGUUGCAUAAGAAUUAAAUAACAAAAAAAACUUCAUUAAACCGAAGUGAGAUACCCGUAUGAUAAACGCUUAUCGCAUUUCGUACUUUGAUAAAUAUACGCAGUAAUUGAAGUGUGCUUUUCUCAUUCUAAAUAACGCUCUACCAACGACGUGUGGCAAAUUGUCUAAUAUUAUAUUUCAAUGCAGUGUAUUAUCAUGAACAUUCUGACGUGUUAUACGGUCUUCACUUUUAGAAGAAAUGCCAAUGUGCUCUGAGGAAGAAUAUUAUUGCCAAGUAUUUUUUACUGGCUUGUUUGAUGUAAAUAAUAUGUAAUAUGAGGAAAUGUAUGUACAACGAAUGUGGCCAGUACACUUUGCGAAAGCCUUCUGUAUUUGGUUCUACAGAAAUCCAUUUUUUUCGAAUUUGUAUAUAACUUUUACGUGAACCUUGUGUCCACAAUAAUGAGGUAGCAAAUUUUUAAAAGCAUCCUAUUUUGCUUGUAAAUUUGUACGGGGUAUUUAACUGUCAAAAAACUGUUACAGAGUCAAAAACAGAAAAAAAGAAAUUUAUACACGCGGCUAAUCCUACGAAAAGAGUGCCUUUCUAGCAAAUAAAAAGAAACGAUACCGUCGUAAGUAAAUAAGUAAUAAAUUCAUUCAAUUCUAAUGAAUCCCUAAUAAAGUAAUUGCAUAAUC